rnacentral:tRNA from 1 species
ACUUUCUUAGUAUACAUAGUACUGCUGACUUCCAAUCAGCAAGACCCGAGUAAUAGCGGGAGAAAGUA